UCUGUGCAGAAGGAGCCAGAGGCAGAGAAGAGGCAGCAGAGGAGCAGCUCUCCUCCUGAGUCUUCAUCCCGGAGAAGACAGAAGGCAGGCGGUCCCACCUCACCGGUCCUGAACUUAAAACCCUCCCAGACGAGCUCAAAAGAACACGAUGUACCGAGAGUGUUUCCUGUGACCGAAGCUGAAGAAAACUGGCUGUCCCGAACGCGCAGGGGUCCUUCAGGAGUUGAUGCGGAGACCUCGCGCCAGCUGGAGCUGCAGCCGUGAUGUUCUGCAGACACCAGAGUUUCACCAAACACAGAGCGCAAACAAGAAAUACACAUUAGCUUCAUACUUGUAGCUUUAAAGAAACCGCUUUCCACAACCAAGCAAAGAUAAAAGCACAAAACAUCUUAUUUUUUAAUCAUGUGCAGGUCAGAUUUCUAAUUAAGAGCACUUUAAAAUAAGAAAUUCAGGUUUUUUUAUGUUUAUCGAGGAACAAAUGUACAAUUAAAACCCCGACAAUCACUGGUUUGUAGUUAAUUUAGCUCAAAUUUGAGCAAAUCAGGAAAUGAUUAGCAACUAAUCAAGACUGGCUUUAAAAUGAAAGAAAGCUGUAAAUUAUAAUUAUUACUCUGAAAAGACAUUCCUAAUAAAUCAUCAUUUGAUAAUUAGUUAUGAUGGUUGAUUACACUGACCACUUUCAGCAUUUUGAGUUUGAUUAUCACCUUUUUUCUUAAAAGGAAUGAAGACUUUGUCGUCAUUCAUAUUCAAGAAACUGAUAAAAACCUUUUGCUGUUCUUUGAAAUAUCACCGGGAGGUUUUACUUAGUUAUUUAUUGCAUUGAUAUGAAGCAACGAGUGGCAUUUACUCCAAUAUUAAAGAAUCAAAAAGGAGCACUCACAAUAAACUUCAGGCUGAGUUUGACUAAAACAACAACCAGUUCAUUCAUGUUCAAAUCAAAGACGACAAUUAGAGAUUUAUAUACAAGAAUAAACACAUCAGUGGUCCAAAAGGUCACAUGUUCAACUCCUUUGAUCAAUAUACUUUUUUUACUUGUAACAAAUUCGACACAAAUAAAAAAAAAACCCACCAAAACCAUGGGGUAUUUUAUUUUCAUGACAGCUAAACUUGUGAAAGAUGCUAAAACUGAGAUGUUAAAUCUAAAAGAACACUAGCUAAAACCUUAGGCACAGUAAAAAAAAAACUAUAAAAGUCAAAAUGCAAGCUAAAAUCUUAAAAUAUCUAAAUGUUUGCUAAAAGUAAUAAAAAGCUAACUAACAUAGCAAAACAAUAAAUGGUAAAACUAGCUAAACGUAACUAUAAGCAGUAAAAAGUUAAACAUAGCAAAGUUAAAAGCCAAAGUAAUGCAGGAGUAUGAAAAACGAAAAGAAGCAAAAGGCUAAACUAGAAGCUAAUAGUAAUGAAUGGUUAAAAGUAGGCGAAAGAUAGCUAAAAAGACAAAGCUAAGAAGACAAAAAUGAGACUGAGGAUGAUGAUCAGAUUUCAAAAAACUUUCUAUGGGAAAAGUCAGAGCACCCACCUCCUGAAAGAGCCGAACAUUUUGAUGUAUAAAUGACUAAAAAUAGCAUAAAUAAUAAAAAAAAAGUAGGAAUCGUAUUUAAACUCCAGUGGUCAACAGGUUUACACUGUUGUUGCUUUUGUGUUUUAAAGAAAAAAAGAAUCUCUUCAUUACAUUAAAUUAUUGUCUCUAAUGUGAUCAUCGAUACUGACCAUUAAAUUUAUCUGUAAUCUCAUACAUUCUGGCCUUUAGCAGCUGCAGCCUGUUCGGUCUCUGUGGAAAGCCCCUGUCUUUCUGCAAUCUGAUUAAAAAGAUUAAAUCUGUUACCUCAUUGCCGGAGCUUUAUCUCACGAGGUCGUUCAGCGGUGCCUCAGCGCCCCCCAUGCUUCCCCUCCCUCCGCAUCCCCACCCUCACUGCACCUACGUUGCAUAAUUAAACUUGAAUUAGAUCAUUAGCAUACAAAGCAGGAAACCUACCGCGGUGGAGUCAUGCAUAUUUAUCUGCACACACUUGUACUGUAACCCCCUUCCUCUUUUCUCCUCACGCAAACACGACGAGCUUUCGAGUGCAGAAAAGGAGCGAACARAAAUCGAUAUUUACCAGAGUGUGUGUCUGGUUUUCAGAGGCAAAUAUUUACCAGCGAGCCAUCUGCAGAAACACACGCCUUUCAUUCAAACAACACUUUAAAUCGCGUGCCUGUAGAAGAAAAAAAACAACAACGGAGCAGAUGUAUUUUGAUUAGGUUCAUCAGAGCAGGUUGCUUUCAGCAUAGCAAAUAUUGCUUACACACAGAGGAAUUUCCCGAAUCCACUAACGCCUGCAGUACAAGCUCAUCUGCUGCACAUAAUCAAACAGAAAAAGACAAACAUGGAGCACCGCCCUAUGAAUAUUAGGUUUCCUCUGCCUCGCUCAUGACUCAUUUCUGUCUCCUUUCCUUGCAUCUUUCCUCUUGAACCAUACUCCCUGCCUCCUCGGGGUCACUUCUUCUCCUCCUUCCAGCUGAGAGAACAACUCCCCCCUUUUCAUGGCUGCUUGGACUCUUAUUAGUAUUCUCCCCUACUUCCCUGCUUCUCCCCCACCUCUCCCCCCCUUCUCUUCCUCCUGUGAGAUUGCUGUUGUGUCUUAUGGCUUUUUAUUCCUACGUGAUGGUAGAUGGGUUCAUGUAGGAGUAGAAGCCACUAAACACGCGGCGAGCGCUCAACAUGCUGGCCGACACGCAGCGAGCUUCCUGUGGAUAUGACAGCUGCCAUGUUCACAUCAAUGUCCUCCUGCCCAUUACCCAGAAUGCCCAUUAGCGCUGAAGAGAAAAGAGAGAGAGUAACUUUCAGACCAAAGUUGCAAAGAAUUUUUAUGAAUGCAGUUAAGUUGGAAUUAAAGACCUAGCACGCAAAUCGCCCGUCAUCCUUAAUGUCUUAAAGCGCCUGUGAYGUGUGUACGCUUUAAAUGCAAAAAGUCCAAGAAAAUAUCUUUAUAUGUAAGAAACGUGGAAUAACACAUGAUUUUACCCAUUUUGCUACAUAACCGGCGUAUUUUCUUUUGAAUUUGGCUCGGUCAAAGUGAAACAGGAAGUGACAUCAAAGGGGAACUCCUUAAGAAAGAGAACUCUUUGAUCUUUGUCCGUAAACAAUAUUACAGUGUUUGAACUCUUACUGUAAUUCAUCUCUCUUUUAUAGUGACUCAAAAUAAUCUAAUAAACAUCAGUCUGUUGGUGUUAUAGCAACGCUCUGUUCUCAUUCAGACAUUCCCCUUUGACAUCACUUCCUGUAACUUCACACGCAAAUAUCUCAGCAACACACACAACGCUUGAAUUUUCCUUUUCAAUAUUUUAUCAAUAUUAUCUGUCCAAAMAUGCAUUUGCAUUUAUUACAAAAAUUUGAUAUCACAGGCACUUUAAUGGGUUAUAGAAUAUUACUGCGUCCUGAAUCGGGUUGACUCCUAAUGACAAUCAGUUGUAGAUCCAGUGAUUAUUUCCUGAAAGUUUUCUUAAAAUCUGUCGAGUGGUUAAUGUUAGAUAUAAAUAAGGCAAGUAAGAUAUUUUGUAACAGACACACAGCAAAGAUCUAAAACAUUGUACUUUCAGUGGCCGGCGAUGAUUUUACAURACUGAUGACUUUAUAUGUUAAAGGGGUUGAAUUUGGAUAUAAUUUGAGCAAAAUAUUCUGGAUUUUUACUUGAUUUUUCUGCAUGUGUCUUGACUUUUAAGACUAAUUCCUUCAUUCUUUUGCCCUGUGCUCUCUGAAAAAUAAAUCUUCAUGAUAGAAAUAAAAGCAGUGACACGGAAAGGUCAUAAUCAGUUCUGACUCACACAACUAGAAUAUAAAACUGACAUAGUAAUUAUUUUUAAUUUAACUUGUCAAACAAAAAUAAACAUCACGUAUUUAGAAAAACAGGUUUAAGUUUUUUUUAAAUAUUUAAACAGUGAUUUGAAAGAGUUCUGUUUGUAAUGUGAGGCUUCGUCGAUGCAAAUCGGUUAGCUUUAAGAAGAAUUAAAGUUUACUUGUUUAAAAAUAGAGGUGCAUUGAAUGUUUCAAAUCAAGAUUUAAAUGAAUUAAUCUAAAAUACAUUCAUGUUCUUCUUGUUCAUAUAUGAACAAGUUAAAAUUCAAUUAAUGUAUCUUGAACGCCUUUAAACCUUAAAUUGGACUGAUUUACUCAGAUUGUAGUGAUUCUAACACAUUAAAUAAAAAGUUUAGCAUCAUGUAUGAAAGUAGACACCAAAAUGAAGUUAAAGAAAAAACAAAAUUGAAUGAAAAGGAGGGUUUUUUCUUUAAAUCUUGCAGCAAGGAUCUUAAACUGUCUCCGUCACUAAAAAGUAAAGUGAACUCGGUUGUUUGAAUCUAAAAAUAUUUCAGGUUUUAUCCAACGGAUUCGAAAGAUGUUUCUCAAAAACACAAAAAGAAAAGUAGCUAAAAGUACUAAAUUUAAGAUCAAAUGAAUAAUUCAAACACCCCAAAUUUCAUUUUCCCGAGUGUACACUAAUUUCUAUUUUAAUUUAUACAACAGAAAUUUUGUUUUCCAGUAGUGAAGGAUAAAACAUCAGCAGUUUGUUUUUUUUACCCCACAGCCUGAAUUAAACUUGAUUGGGACAGCUGCACCAAAAUUAUUUUUGCAAUAAUCUAGCAUAUUUGAGGCGUUUCCCUGAAGCUCUAGAAUUUAAUAUGCUCGUCGCCAAAACAAAAAACAAACAAACAAAAAAAGAAAGUAAGAAAAAAAAAGAGAUAUUUACUUUCCCAAAUCAGCAAGUAUUACUGUCUUGGAACCAAUUUUCCUGUAAAUCUUCAAACCUGGAAACUGUGACUCAUUUCACAGCAGGACGCUGCUGAAAGUUCGCCUCUAAUCGUGUGCUAUCCAUCAGCACUAACUCACGCCUGAGUUGAACUCKGUGUCAACUAAUUAAGCAAGAAAUUCAAAUGAUCCUGCUGGUGGGUCCACGUGGGUGCUGCGAGGCUUUGGGCUUUAAAUGUCAACUCUCUGUUUGUAUUUGCGCUGAAAUGAGCUCUCCUCGCCUCACGCAGGAUCUGAAUAAAAAGCCUAAAUAGGCUAAACCCCCUCCUGUCUCCCCUAAAAGGAGAAAAAAAGUGAAUUAUUAAUCUGUGGAUAUUACAAGAAUCUGACACAUGUUUGCAAUUGUGGGACAUUACAUCGGCACUGAUAUGAGGGGCGUAAUAAUUCAAGAUGAAAUUGAAAUAGAUGAGGUCUGUGGAAGUGUAAUGAUUUAUUUAGGGCUGUUGUGAUCUAAUAUUCAGUGGGAGGGUUGAGAAGUUUCUCAUGCUUGCAUUAUCAGUUUAAUUUAUUUUUCAGGGUUCCCACUCCCACAUUAGCUUUUUUUUCCCUUCUUCUCUCCUUCCUCCUUUUUUUUUAAUCAAGUCACGAGGGGGUCUGAGAGAAUAGUCGAACAGGAGGAGAGGCUGAGGAAGGAUUCGAUUUUUUUUUAAACCCUGCGGGGGGUCCACAGGAACCUCUAGGUGGGAAUCAGCCGUGAUGGCAUCAACAGGAAAGAGCCUGCAUUAUUUAAAAACACAGGGAAAAACUAGACAGAUUGACAUUUUAUUUUUCUUCCUCGUGCCAGCCAACAAAACUUAACCUCACUUUCCCUGAAGACGUCAAAAUGAUUAGUGAUAGAAGACAGACAGCAGAGCCUCGUUUUCAUUUUCCCCCCAAAUUAUCGCUGUCACGACUCCUCGACUUAUGAUGGAAUACAAGGUCACAGAAUCCUCAAGCUCAGGUACGAAACACGAACAUCAUCCACUCUGGCAUAAUGGGAUUUUCCUCUGACAGCUGCAAUAACGCGGCGUGUUUGUGUACAGUAGGUUUAAUGUAUGAGCGUUGUUCUACUUUAUCUACCCCCAUCCCCCUUUCCUCAGGCUCCACUUUGAUUUUCCUGUAAUAAAUAAUGCUCUUUUGUCUUUCUGUGCUUGAUUUGUUCCCAGCUGUAAUCUCACUAUACUGCUCAAUAAAUUAUGAAUAAUCCUG